AAUGUUAAGAAGCCUAAGCAGUGUGAAAAAUAUUGUACAAAUGUACUUUUGCAAAGAAAAGCUGAAGAAUUACAUUGGAAAGCAGAAAAGUGGCCUUUUCUAACGUUUGAAAAUCUUUCCCCUGCUAGUUAAAAGAUAUUCACCAUAAACCUUGGCUGCCUGCUCCUGCACAAAGAGAUAAUGCAGAACUUUAACAUGAAGAAGCUGGUCAGCUGGAGACCAACUAUUCCAGAAACAGGUGGUCUCUAUACCUUCCUGAACAUCUGGAAGUACCAAGCACUGCAUGAGCAUGCCAUAAAUGGGACCAAGCUGAAGAAUUUUCAGCCAAUGAACCACGAUUCCAGCCCUAGAAAACAGCACUUUGUUUGCUGCAGGUAGAACAGACCUAAUUCAUUUUGUAGAUCAGAUACAACAAUAGAGUCACACAAGGGGAGAAACCUGUGCAAUAUCUAUCUCAAUAAGAAAAACAAACAUGAACAAGAAACACGUGAUCACUUUUCUGUUAACCGUAAAUCCUCCUCUCUCCUUCUAAUCUUCAGUAAAAACCUGAACAACAUAAAAACUGCUUCAGGGUUUUAUGAGACUCAUGACAGAGCACCACAUGGCACCAUAGUAAAACUGCUUCAUCUUGACCUCUCCUUUCACGACUACAUAUGAAAAUUCAUCCUAAUA